GUUCAGCAGGCCAUGAGGCCGCUUGGUGCAGCAGGCUCCAGGCUGCCCCACACUUGGAUGCCCCAAAAUCCCAUGCAGAAGAGGUGCUGGGGACCAGAGACGAAGCUGGUGCCAGUCUUACACCUCCCCAAAUGUUUGUCAAAGCCUAGCCCACGACUCCCCCUAAUGCAUCAACCCCUCUCAAUGUAUCGCAGCUGGAAAUGGUGGCUCGCAGCUGCUCUCUCCCUGACCCGGUAACAGGGCGUAAAUAAUUUAAGCCAAGCCAUUAUUAACAAAUCUGAUCUUCCUGCAGGUUAUUUGUGCUCAGCGAAUCUCACCCACUGGAAGCAGCUCUCUGGUGGGUCUGCCAGCAGUGCCAUCCAGCAGCCCAGUUUCCGUGAAAUAUCUUGAUGUGUAUCGAUUUACCCUCCUGAAUAAAUCUGCCCGAGGGGGAGUCACUUUCAAGAAGGGACGUGCAAUAUUUAUAACAUCUACGGGACCAGAGAGCUCAAAGCAGCGGGUGGAGGAGGCUAACCCGUUCUUAUCUGUAUUUCUGGAUAAGGAAAGAGUGAUGCAAAAGAAAGACGUGUAAAGCUGCUAACAAGGCACUGGGCAUUCAAAAUAAAAUAAAUAAAAAAUAGGAGAGGGGGUGCUUGCUGAUGCUGGCUUGCAGCGUGGGGAAUCAGAGGCCUCAUGCACACCAAGAGCAACCGCUGGGCAUUCACUGAAGAGAAGCCAUCUGUUCCCCGGGCCUUGCAAGACGGCGUGAAAUUCUCUCUUGAUUCUGGUUUUGGUUUCCUUCCUGUCCUGUCCUGAGCGCUGCCCCUGUGCCGGCAGCUCCCACAGAGCCCGGGGAGGGCACGUGGAGGCAGGGGAGCUGGAGGAUGGCUGAGGACCACAUGAGCAAUGCAGAAACAGCUGAGGGCCUUUGCUGACCUUCUGCCCUUUACUUGACUGCCUGUUCCUUUAAAACAAAUUUACUGAUGGGUUUUCUUUAUUUUAUUUUUUUUUCUGCCGCCAUCCCCAUGAGGCGUUCUUUCCUAUGAGUCAUGCACACCAUAAAGAAAUUACUGUUUGGCUCAAAGUUACGCUCCCAUGCCUGGAAUCAACAUUUUUUCAGUGAGAGAUAGGAAAUGAGCUGAAUUUGUGGGUGAUUCAUUAUUUACUAUUUUGACCUGAAAAGUGCUUUUACCAUUAGAUUUAAAAGAAAAGAAAAUCAUACAACAAGAUUCCUGAAACACGAAACCAAAGCUAUACGUGACUGAAGACACUGAACAUGUCCUUUAAGGGCUUAUUUAUGCCAUGUACAGAAAUGAUCCCUUUUAUCUUUUGAGGCUGAUUGUAGAUUUCAUCAGGAUUAUUAAUGUUACUAGUUUCACUUCAGAAUUAUAUUUUACUGAUAUAAAACACCCUUCAAGAGCAUAUUUCCUCAUAUGGCUAAGAAAUACGGUGCUAUUUAUGCAUUUAUAUUCUUUUAUUUGAGCACAAUAUGACAUAAUGAGACAUUUUUAACCCCCUGUAUAGCCUGGAAGUAAACAUCAUACAUACACCUACAGAGAAGUCCUGGGCACUAAGGCCCAUCCAAGCUCAGAAAUCCAGAUUUGGAAUAAAGUGGAAUUCCAGAUGACAAAAGAGCAAAUCGGAGCAAAACCCAGCAACCCAAGUCUGAUGCAACAGUCAGCGGCGGAGCCCCAGCAGUGACUUCCAUCAGCGACAGCUGAAAGGAAUUGUGGAAAAAAAUGCAAAAAGGUUGAGAACUGAAGGAACACAGAGGCCUUUCUUGCUAGUGGGAUUUUAAAGA